AAAAACAAAUCGUUCAGAGUACCGUUAAAGUACCGGAUCAAUAAGCAGUAUUGGCAAGAGUAGUAAAUAUAAGAAUCGGAACCAAAACAACUUGAUCGGGACGUCCCCAGAUUGUUUCCUCUGCGUGUGUGCGUUUUAACAGCCAAUAAGAGGAG